rnacentral:rRNA from 1 species
CAGUAGCCGCGGGAAUACGUAGGUGGCAAGCGUUGUCCGGAAUUAUUGGGCGUAAAGGGCUCGCAGGCGGUUUCUUAAGUCUGAUGUGAAAGCCCCCGGCGCAACCGGGGAGGGUCAUUGGAAACUGGGAAACUUGAGUGCAGAAGAGGAGAGUGGAAUUCCACGUGUAGCGGUGAAAUGCGCAGAGAUAUGGAGGAACACCAGUGGCGAAGGCGACUUUCUGGUCUGUAACUGACGCUGAGGAGCGAAAGCGUGGGGAGCGAACAGGAUUAGAUACCCCUGUAGUCCCUGUCUCUUAUAC